CAGAAGGUGAGGGGGUGCUGGGGGUCCUCACUGGGCCUGACCUGCUGGGGCCCAGCCUCCCAGUGACUUCUCAGGACCCCCCCCCCAAGACAUGGCAAGCCACCCUCACCCAGGCCAGGAGAUGUGCACCCGGCUCUGUCCUAGGACCGGGCCCAGCGGUGAACCAUGCGACCAGGCGCUGUCCCACUGUCGAAUGGGCAGGAGGCUGCACUCAUGUCCUCACCACCAGGCCUCAACUCUGCCUCUACCCCAGAGGAAACCAAGGGAGGCUUCCCCAAGUCCCCUGCAGGAAUCAGAAUAUCCGGAACCAGCAGCGCUGUUCCUUCCCCGGCUAGAAGGAUCCUACCCGCCCACAGUCCAGCCUCACAUCUGGCCCAGGAAUCCAGGACACCUGGCAGCAUCUGAUACGCCAGCAGCUGCGUGAAUGCCUCCAGUGAUGAGGU